GGCAAGGUGGUUUAGUGGUUAGAACAUUUGCCUCGUGCCUCCAGGUUUGAGGGCUCAAUUCCCACUUCUGCCC